rnacentral:pre_miRNA from 1 species
GUAGUAUUCCCUCCGUCCCAAAAUUCUUGUCUUACAUUUGUUUAGAUACGGAUGUAUCUAACACUAAAAUGUAACUAGAUACAUCCAUAUUUAGACAAAUUUAAGACAAGAAUUUUGGGACGGAGGGAG